rnacentral:rRNA from 1 species
CGCAAGCCUGACGGAGCAAGACCGCGUGCGGGAUGACGGCCUAAUGGUUGUAAACCGCUUUUCUCUGGGAAGAUGAUGACGGUACCGGAGGAAUCAGCCUCGGCUAACUCCGUGCCAGCAGCCGCGGUAAUACGGAGGAGGCAAGCGUUAUCCGGAAUUAUUGGGCGUAAAGCGUCCGUAGGUGGUUAUUCAAGUCUGCUGUCAAAGCGUGGGGCUUAACUCCAUAGAGGCAGUGGAAACUGGAUGACUUGAGUGCGGUAGGGGUCGAGGGAAUUCCCAGUGUAGCGGUGAAAUGCGUAGAUAUUGGGAAGAACACCAGUGGCGAAAGCGCUCGACUGGGCCUGCACUGACACUGAGGGACGAAAGCUAGGGGAGCG